AACGAACGCUGGCGGCAUGCCUAACACAUGCAAGUCGAACGAGACCUUCGGGUCUCGUGGCGCACGGGUGAGUAACGCGUGAGAACCUGCCAUUAGGUUCGGAAUAACUCCCCGAAAGGGGUGCUCAUAUCGGAUAAUGUCUUCAGACCAAAGAUUUAUCGCCUUUGGAUGGGCCCGCGUUGGAUUAGCUAGUUGGUAGGGUAAAAGCAUACCAAGGCGACGAUACAUAGCUGGGCUGAGAGGAUGAUCAGCCACACUGGGACUGAGACACGGCCCAGACUCCUACGCGAGGCAGCAGUGGGUAAUAUUGGACAAUGGGCGAAAGCCUGAUCCAGCAAUGCCGCGUGAGUGAUGAAGGCCUUAGGGAAGUAAAGCUCUUUUACCCGGGAUGAUAAUGACAGUACCGGGAGAAGAAGCUCCGGCUAACUCCGUG
rnacentral:rRNA from 1 species